rnacentral:misc_RNA from 1 species
AAGUCGUAACAAGGUCUCCGUAGGUGAACCUGCGGAGGGAUCAUUAACACUGUCCAGGCCUGGAGCAGGCUUUCGAGUCUGCGCCAGUCGACCUGUCCACCAAUCGCGUGAACUCAACCUUUUUCCCAGCUGUUGCGAGUGCGCGGACUGUGGUGUGAUCCUGUAUCAGAGUCACAGUUCGCCUGCUCUCGAUGGCGUUUGUUUGUGUUUUUCCACCAAACCGUGUCCAACCCUUCUUUUGACUGAAGUUUUGCUGUCGCUCGCUUGAGUGUAUGGCCAUAAAACAGUUGAAUCAAAGCACAACUCUUAGCAACGGAUAUCUCGGUUCUC